rnacentral:lncRNA from 1 species
GUACAAGGGAAGAAGGAUGGUCGUUCUCCACGUCCCAUAACCUGAGCAGUCAGGUUUAUAACGAAGAUGUACAUAGUCCUGUAGCAUUUUUUUUCCCUUAGCCUUCUCGUGCUGUCUCGUGCUUCGUAGACCCCACCAAGUGCUUUGGAUCUGAAGGCUUGAGAGAGAGAUGGGAGUAACUCUCUGUGAUUCACAGUGACUUGCUGUUCUUGGCCGCUUGUUUCAUGUACUGCCUGGAACCGCCAUUAACUGCAACCAACGUUUUGUCUGUGCAGUUCCUGCGCAAUUUGGAAACCAUGAACUCUUUAGGAAUGGCAGGAAUAUUUGCCCUGAGCUAACAUCUGUGCCAGUCUUCCUCUGUUUUGUGUGUGGGUCGCCACCAAAGCUUGGCCGCCAGCAAGUGAUAAGAAGAAGAUUAGCCCUGAGCUAACUACUGCCAAUCCUCCUCUUUUUGCUGAGGAAGACUGGCCCUGAGCUAACAGCCAUGCCCAUCUUCCUCUACUUUAUACGUGAGACGCCUACCACAGCAUGGCUUUUGCCAAGUGGUGCCAUAUCCGCACCCGGGAUCCACAUCGGUGAACCCCAGGCCGCCAAGCGGAACUUGCGAACUUAACCACUGCACCACCGGGCCAGCCCCUGACUGCCCUUUCUUCCAUGCUGAUUUCCUUUUAGGAGUGAAAGCCACGCACAACAGUAAAGCUGAGGCGGGAGAAGCAGCUCAGUCAUAACAUACUGACUUCCAUCCUCCUCCUUCCUGCAUCCGGACUCCACCCUGUUGAGUUACAUCCCCCUCAAUUAGAAGCCAUGCCUGUGCAGCUCAGGAAAUGGAGUAAGUGCAAGGUAGAAACAUCCCCCAACUAAAACUGAGCUUGCUUUCUCCUUUCUCUUCCCAAGGACAUGCCAAGUUUGCAAUAUAAGGGAGCUUGGGACAACCGUCUACUCCCAAGCUGGUUCUAACCAUGGAGCUUUAAGAAUACUUAUAUAUAGUAUGGCAGCGUUUAACAAAAGACCAACCCUGAAAUGUGUGGAGGGAAGAGACCAGAUUCUACAAGCACUUGGAGUUAAAGCAAGACUUGAAUCCAAGAAAGGGUCCAUCCAUUGAGGCCUUAAGUGGGAUCUGGGUAUUUACACUCCCUUUAUUUCGCCUCACCCACCCAUCCACUCAAUUAAAAAGCACCAUCCUUAGGCAAAUCUAGACUCAACUAUGCUUAAAACUAUCCCUUGCUUAUUAGCCCACAGAGUGGGUCAUGUGAGACAGACUUGCAGCUCCAUGGUACACUUUCCCUGCCCCUGGAUUUCUGCAUCUCCAGGCCAGAAAAAGUUAACCCGACAGUUAAAGAGCACAAACUCCACUUUUAUCCACAGAGAUGUCCUUUGACCAGGCAAAAGCACAGAAUCAUUGAAGAAGCUAUACUAUGUUUGAUUCUGAAAAAAGAUUUGGUACUCAAGCCCAAAGAGAUGGAAAACUAGGAAAUGAGAAAUUGAGUUUCAAGUUAGAGAAAGAGAACACUUACAGAUUAUUUAAGGGCAUAAAUUCCAAAACGCCCCACCCCAACCUCCUGAGAAGGCUUUCAAUAGGAUGGGAAGCUGAAAGCUGCUUUUCCCGACCAGCUAACCCACCACUCCCUGCAACAGGCAAACAGUAGGCAAGGUAAUGUAUUAGUAAAACAUUGAAGCCCAAAGUCUUGGUGUAAAUUUAGAUUUUUAAUUUUUCACUUGUACUAAAAAUUGAUUUGUCUGCCCUUCUGCCAUCUGUACAAACAUUCAUGCAGCACCUAGAAGAAAGUACUUAGGUAUCCCUCUUCCCAUUAAACUCUUCAAAUGAAACUCAUUUUGCUUUCUUCUUCCAAGGUACCAUCUUUCUCCAUUAGUACAGGCUCAAAACUCUUCAUUUUUUGUUUAGUUUUUAUUUCAUAAUCAUAAACUUAGCUCUGCAGUGCACCUGGAUUUGGAAGGGAAUAAGAACAUGGAACCCAAAGAGCUGCAGUGAGAGUACAAAGAUUAUAGGAUAUAGUGAGCAGAUGAGGGUGGUAGAUGCUCUCCUGAGCUGCAGAAGGAAUGAUCUAGAGGUUAAGAUAAAACAUGUCAAAUUUACUGGAGUUGUCCAUAGUCAGCAAUAGUUAGCCUCUUGAUGGUCCUGCCAUUCCUGGACUAAAGCACUCCAUGGCUUCCUCUUCUGCCCUACCAAAGACCACGUUUGCCAUCCAACUACUCAGUCUUGGCACUGCAGAUGAAAACAGUUCUGGGAACCAUUUGUGUUGGGUCCAGCGUUUGCAAUGAACAAGAAACUGGGACCACAUGCUUCGGGAUGAAACUCUCAUCAUCAAGUUUCUCCCUGCAGGUGGGCUUGCUGCCGGUGCCAUUAUGGCAUGUGAAGUCACCACUCUGGAACAUAAACCCUGGAAUAAGUCUGUGACAGCGGGAAACUUUAUAACUAAAUCCUUUCUCCCCACUGCUCAAGAGCAUGAAAGUUUUCUGCUGCCUUUGGAACUGUGUCUGCAAACAGCUCAAAAGAGACGGCCUGAGGGCUCGCCAUGGACAUCAAUGUCGGAAGAACACUGGGGUUGACCAUAGCUCGGUGGCACUGACAGCAGUGUCUGCAAAGCCAAACAUUCUUCAUUCUUUAAUCCAAAUUGCUUCUCCUCCCUGAAAAGAAAUCUAUUUUAUUUAUGCCUUUAUCUCCACAAGCAAGGACUUUACCCUAAAUAAGACUAUCACUUUUCUUUCAGAUUACUGAGUCUUGUUCUCUUUGAAUUUAACCUUCCCUUCCUGCCCCCAGACCGUCCUGCCUGCCUACCACUGUUGUCUUCGUCAGAUAUUGCUUUCAGCUUGAGACUCCGCUGAGCAUUACCCUACAGGGUACCUAUGUGGACAUCUAGGCUCAUCCUAGAUCUGGACCUUUCCAGCCCUGGGUUUGGGCAGACCUGCAGUCAAGGAUGAUAGUAUGUGAGAACACUUAGCGUAGUUCCUGGCACAUAGCAGGCAAUGUUAGCUUCUUUUUCCUCUUUUUAUCAAGUUAGGUUCUUUACUGCCCCAAAGACUACCAAGUCUUUGAGUUCAUAUCUGACUCAGAAAUUAUUCUCCCUCUGAGAAACAUAUUCACUCCAAUUUUCUGCCUCUCUAAACCUAUCAAACAUAAACAUUCAAAUUCUACCUUCAAAUUUUAAAACAAUCUUGAAAGUC